GGAAUGGUAUCUCUCCUUCAAAGCAAAUGAAAGAGAAAGACUUCUUUGGAAGAAAGCUUCAACUACCACUAUGGAACCAAGGAUUAAAAGCCAAACAUGACUUCUUCAUCCUCUUUCUACUCUAUUCCUUGAGUAAACUCCAAGCCUUCGCCGCUUCUUUCUUUGUUUUCUUCUUCUUCUUCCACCAUGGAAAAACAUCAAUAUGGGUACUUGCUAAUCUUCUCCAUUGUAGUUUCCCUUGGCAUUGUUUCUUUUGUUUCUUGUGUCAUUGCAGAGUCCAAGAAAAUUAAGAAGGAGGAGGUGAAAUUAGAUAGUAAACUGUGUUAUUUGCCUGAAAGUAGAGCUUUCAGCUUCGGAUUUGCAGCACUAAUAUGCUUGGUCGUUGCUCAAAUCAUAGCAAAUUUGGUAAUUUGCAGCCAUUUUUGGUUGAGAAAGGAUGGCGAUUCUUCCAAGGCUAAGAAACCAAUGAUAAUUGCCUCAGCAUUUCUUGUUUUGUCCUGGAUCAGCUUUGGGCUUGCUGUCAUUUCAUUAAGUACAGCCACAAGCAUGAGUAGAAAGCAAUUCUAUGGAAAAGGAUGGUUGGACCAGAAAUGCUAUCUACCCAAAGAUGGAGUGUUUAUUUGGUCAGGAUGUUUAGUGCUGAUUUCCAUAGCAGGCACAAUUGGUACAUUCCUAUUCACAAUUAGUAAAGUACAAGUUGAACAAGCUAGAAGAGUACAUGCACAACAUGUAUAAAAAAGAAAAGAGGGGGAAAAAAAUUAUUCAUUUUGUGGAUAACAAGUCACUACACAAGGCAAUGACAGUCUUUUAAUUUUUUUUUUUAAUUUAGCUCCAUUGAAACUUAAACUUGAGAUAUCAUAUAUUUGAAGACAAUAAUUCAUUGAUUUUGAAGACCCAUUUUCUAAUGCCA
rnacentral:misc_RNA from 1 species